GAUGAACGCUGGCGGCGGGCCUAAUACAUGCAAGUCGAGCGAAGCGGGGACGGGGGAGUAACACGUGGAUAAACUCCUAUAAGGCUGGGGUAACUUAGGGAAACCGGAGCUAAACCGGAUAAUUAUAGAUGAAUCCGCACGGCAUUAGCUAGUUGGUAAGGUAACGGCUUACCAAGGCAACUAUGCAUAGCCGACCUGAGAGUGUGAUCGGCCACACUGGAACUGAGACACGGUCCAGACUCCUACGGGAGGCAGCAGUAGGGAAUCUUCCGCAAUGGGCGAAAGCCUGACGUAGCCACGCCGCGUGAGUGAUGAAGGUCUUCGGAUCGUAAAACUCUGUUAUUAGGGAAGCGGUACCUACUCAGAAAGCCACGGCUAACUACGUGCCAGCAGCCGCGGUAAUUC
rnacentral:rRNA from 1 species